UGAUGACGAGACGCUAAGGCGUUGAAGCAGUGUAUGUCAGACUUCCAAGAAAAGCUCGCAAUGUCACAAAUAAAAGAUGCCUGUACCAUAACCGACACAGGUGGGUAGGUAGAGUAUACUAAGGGGCGCGAGAUAACUCUCUCUAAGGAACUCGGCAAAAUGACUCCGUAACUUCGGGAGAAGGAGUGCCUUAUUUAUAAGGUUGCAAUAACAAGAUCCAAGCAACUGUUUAUCAAAAACACAGGUCUCCGCUAAGUCGUAAGACGAUGUAUGGGGGCUGACGCCUGCCCAGUGCCAGAAGGUUAAAGAAGUUGGUUAGUGUAUGCGAAGCUGAUGACUGAAGCCCUGGUGAACGGCGGCCGUAACUAUAACGGUCCUUAGGUAGCGAAAUUCCUUGUCGGGUAAGUUCCGACCCGCACGAAAGGCGUAAUGAUUUGGAUACUGUCUCGGAGAGAGGCUCGGUGAAAUAGACUUGUCUGUGAAGAUGCGGACUACCUGCACCAGGACAGAAAGACCCUAUGAAGCUUUACUGUAACUUGAAAUUGGAAUUGGACUUUGCUUGCGCAGUAUAGGUGGGAAGCGUUGAAAAUAUUCUUGCGGGAGUAUUGGAGCUAUCAGUGAGAUACCACUCUUGUAAUGUUAGAUUUCUAACUUUGAACCAUAAUCUGGUCAAAGAACAGUUUCAGGUGGGCAGUUUGACUGGGGCGGUCGCCUCCCAAAUGGUAACGGAGGCGUACAAAGGUUUCCUCUGAACGGAUAGAAAUCGUAUCUAGAGUGUAAAGGCAUAAGGAAGCUUGACUGUGAGACCUACAAGUCGAGCAGGGACGAAAGUCGGUCUUAGUGAUCUGACGGUACUGAGUGGAAAGGCCGUCACUCAACGGAUAAAAGUUACUCUAGGAUAACAGGCUGAUCUCCCCCAAGAGUUCACAUCGACGGGGAGGUUUGGCACCUCGAUGUCGGCUCAUCGCAUCCUGGGGCGGUAGUACGUCCCAAGGGUUGGGCUGUUCGCCCAUGAAAGCGGUACGCGAGCUGGGUUCAGAACGUCGUGAGACAGUUCGGUCCAUAUCCGGUGUAGGCGCUAGAAUAUUGAGAGGAGCCUUCUUUAGUACGAGAGGACCGAGAAGGACACACCGCUGGUGUACCAGUUAUCGUGCCAACGGUAAACGCUGGGUAGCUAUGUGUGGAGUGGAUAACCGCUGAAAGCAUCUAAGUGGGAAGCCCACCUCGAGAUGAGUAUUCCC
rnacentral:rRNA from 1 species